rnacentral:lncRNA from 1 species
AUUCAUGCAAUGAACCCAGAUCUUUACAAAUGGUAUGAAAUUGACAGUAAGAAAGGCUAGAGUUACCUGCAAACGUCGGUGAAGUAAAACAAACGUGAGAUAUGUCCGGAAAGUGCGUGCUGAUUCCAGAAAUGAGGUUGAGCACGUCGUCGCGGAAAACUUCAGCAGUAAUGAACGCGAUACUUUGGGUCACGAUUUGGGGGGAUCAGAGACUUUAUUUCGGGGAGCUUUCUGAAUGAAAAUUCUUGUAUUUCAUGCCAAGAUAGUUCAGAAAUCAAGAGUUUACUCGAAAAGCUAAGAACUGGGUCGGAAUUUGGUACGAAACUAUGCUGGUUCGUCAACCUGAUGAUGGACUUUUGCAGCGAAAUUUUCUUCCUUUUCUGUUUUCUCUCCCUCUCUUUUCCUUGCCGUUGUUUCUCUUUGUUCUUCCUCCUGCUUUUCCUCUCUUAGCCAGCCCAAAAUCUCCCCAGAUUCCCCCUUUCCUAGUUUCCUCCUUUGUUUCCUUCAGCUGUUACCUAGCUCCCGCAACCCUCUUCUUUUCCUCUUCUUUUCCUCCUCUUUCAUUCUUUCUUUUUCUUGUUUUCCUCCACCACCCGAAGCCCCUCCUUCUCUCUUAGCUGCCCAAAGAACCCCUUUUUCCUUCCUUUCCCUUACUGCCUGAGCUUCCUUCUUACUUUUUUCCUUUUGCUUCGUUCCUUCUUCCUCAGCCCGUAGCUCUCUCCCUUUCCCUCUUUUCUUCCAGAUUUUGUUCCUUAGCCGUCACCCUCUCCUCUCAAUCUCCCCUCUCUCAAUCACUCUUUCCCUUGUUUUUCUUUCCUCCCAGCCUUCUCUUUCUCCCCUUUUUUUCCAGCCCUCGAAGCUCUUUCUUGUUU